rnacentral:rRNA from 1 species
AUACGGAGGGUGCGAGCGUUAAUCGGAAUUACUGGGCGUAAAGCGUGCGUAGGCGGUUGAUUUAGUCAGAUGUGAAAGCCCCGGGCUCAACCUGGGAACUGCAUUUGAAACUGGUCAACUGGAGUAUGGUAGAGGGGGGUAGAAUUUCUGGUGUAGCGGUGAAAUGCGUAGAUAUCAGAAGGAAUACCGAUGGCGAAGGCAGCCCCCUGGACCAAUACUGACGCUGAGGUACGAAAGCGUGGGGAGCAAACAGGAUUAGAAACCCUAGUAGUCC